rnacentral:rRNA from 1 species
UACGUAGGGGGCAAGCGUUGUCCGGAAUCAUUGGGCGUAAAGAGCGUGUAGGCGGCUUGGUAAGUCCGCUGUGAAAGUCCAGGGCUCAACCCUGGAAUGCCGGUGGAAACUGUCAAGCUUGAGUCCGGGAGAGGCGAGUGGAAUUCCUGGUGUAGCGGUGAAAUGCGCAGAUAUCAGGAGGAACACCGGUGGCGAAGGCGGAUCUCUGGGCCAUUACUGACGCUGAGGAGCGAAAGCGUGGGGAGCGAACAGG